rnacentral:rRNA from 1 species
AUGCUGAAAAUUGAUCUUGCUAAAGCUUUUGAUCGCCUAGAUUGGAAUUUCAUUGGGUCUGCUCUCACACGUAAAGGGUUGCAUAGUCAUUUCAUUAACUUGAUAUAUGCGUGCAUUUCGUCGCCUACUUUCUCUGUGCUCAUUAAUGGGCAGCCUUCUCAUAAAUUUAGAUGUUCUAGAGGUAUUCGUCAGGGCUAUCCUAUGUCUUAUUAUUUGUUUGUUAUUUCCAUUAAUGAGCUCUCUCUUGCCCUCAAUGAAGCUCUAGCUGCUCAACAUCUACAGGGAAUUUAG